ACACUAAGGAGUGUGAGCAGAGGAGGGAUAUGACCAACACAAUUGGCACGGGUCACUCUAGCUGGAAGCGGGCAACCAGCGUGGAAACUGUCUGUGAUAAUCCAGGAGAGAUGACCCUGGAGCUGGAGUAAAGAAAAUCCAGUCUUCACAGAAGGAGCAAUGGAAAAAAGACCGAGUCCUACGUCAUGUUAAUUUUUCCAGCUGUCUAAAUAAACUGUAUUGAUGAGGUGCCUCCGGCUGUCACAUCUGGAGG